GAUGAACGCUAGCGGCAGGCCUAAUACAUGCAAGUCGAGGGACAGCACAGGUAGCAAUACUGGGUGGUAACCGGCAAACGGGUGCGGAACACGUACACAACCUUCCUUUAAGUGGGGGAUAGCCCAGAGAAAUUUGGAUUAAUACCCCGUAAUAUAGUUGAAUGGCAUCAUUUGAUUAUUAUAGCUACGGCGCUUAAUGAUGGGUGUGCGGCUGAUUAGAUAGUUGGCGGGGUAACGGCCCACCAAGUCUACGAUCAGUAGCUGAUGUGAGAGCAUGAUCAGCCACACGGGCACUGGGACACGGGCCCGACUCCUACGGGAGGCAGCAGUAAGGAAUAUUGGUCAAUGGACGCAAGUCUGAACCAGCCAUGCCGCGUGAAGGAUUAAGGUCCUCUGGAUUGUAAACUUCUUUUAUUUGGGACGAAAAAGGGUCUUUCUAGACCAACUGACGGUACCAGAUGAAUAAGCACCGGCUAACUCCGUGCCAGCAGCCGCAGUAAGAC
rnacentral:rRNA from 1 species